GAUUGAUUGUCCUGCUGAUCGGAUUUCGAGCGGGCAGAUUUCGCUAGGCACCAACCAACCUAAUGGUCCCCAAGACCAGGCGAAUGCUGAGACGUAUACGCACACGAGUAGUAGAAUCAGGAUUUGGCAGACAAACAUCUGUGCUCCGCCUUCGAGGAAGAGGAUUCUUCGGCCGAAUUUGUCGACUGUGAAAAUUGAAACUAGGGUUGCGAGGACGUUGACGCCGCCACUGAUGACGGCGGAGAUUAGAGAUGCGUCGUCGCCGAAUCCGAGAGUCUUGAACAGAACGGGAGCGUAGAACAUGAUAACAUUGAUACCGGUGAGUUGCUGGAAGAAGGGGAUUAAAGCACACAUCACGAGUUGAGGUCUGUAUUGUGGCUUCAUUAUGUUGCUCCACGGAUGAUCUACUUCGUUUGCCGCUUCACUUGCCUGGAGUAAGUCUUUGAACUCUUCUUCGACUUUUUCAGUACCGCGAACUUUCUGGAGCAUAAUCUUAGCCUUCUCUUUGUAUCCUCUUUCGAGAAUGGAGUUAGGAGUAUCGGGAAGGAACAUGGCUCCGACGGUCAUCAUCACGGCGGGGACUGCGGCGAGAGCCAGUGAGACUCUCCAUCCCCAUCCGCCUUCGAUUUUGGCUGUACCGACAUUGACAAGAUUCGCCACUAAAAUGCCAAUUGUGAUGGCCAUUUGAAAGCCCAUGUUCAGAGCACCUCUGAUUUUGGUUGGAGCCAUUUCAGAAAGGUAAACUGGCACAGACUGCACGCCAAAAAACAGUAAGAAAAAGCCAUUCAUUCAAUCAAUCAAUCAAUCAAACUGAGCAAAUACUGCAUUGAAUUGAUUCAUUUUCAUAUAGAUGAUUUGUCUGUUUAUGAUAGUACCUGAUUCGCAAAUCCAACACCCACACCAAGCAGCAAACGGCCAAUGAUGAGCAGCACAAUGCUAUUGGCAACACCAUUAAGGAUGGAGCCAAUCAAGAAGGAAAGACCUCCAAAAAACAUGGAAGAUUUUCGGCCAAAUUUCCGGGUGAUGAUCGAGGCACCAAAGGAUGCCACCAGAGCAGCCAGGUAAAGAGAAGAGGGAAAUCCCCAAGUUGUUAGGAAGGGUGGGAGGAGAUGUUUCAAGUUGGAGGAUGUUUCCCGAUGAUCACAUUAUGCAGAUUCAACUGGUAAAACUUGGCGGAUCACAGUCUUGAUGAUGUGAGUUUAUUAGGAAAUGCCUAUAUAUUCCAUUCACUCUAUAAUUGUUAUAAAAUAUAUUGUAUAUGAAUCUCAUAAUCAUGCUCUACAUAUAUUCUUAUUUAUAAAUAUUG